UAACAUUUGCGGUGAAAUGCACUAUCGAACUAUUUAUAGGUCAAUAUGUGUGUGAGAAGGUUGGAUAAAAACCACUUUGUUAAGCCGGGGCAAUGUUUUCUGAACGACCGCAGUUCAAAGUUGCUCCGGUUUCACAAU
rnacentral:ncRNA from 1 species